rnacentral:SRP_RNA from 1 species
GCCGGGUGCGGUGGUGCGUGCCUGCAGUCCCAGCUACUCGGGAGGCUGAGGUGGGAGAAUCUCUUGAGCCCAGGAGUUCUGGGCUGUGGUGCGCUAUGCUGAUUGGGUGUCUGCACUAAGUUCGGCAUCAAUAUGGUGACCUCCAGGGAGCAGGGACCACCAGGUUGCCUAAGGAGGGGUGAACCGGCCCAGGUCGGAAACGGAGCAGGUCAAAACUCCCAUGCUGAUCAGUAGUGGGAUCGCGCCUGGGAAUAACCACUGUACCCCAGCCUGGGCAACAUAGCAAGACCCCGUUCCAA